rnacentral:rRNA from 1 species
UAACCUGCCCAAGAGAUCGGGAUAACACCUGGAAACAGAUGCUAAUACCGGAUAACAACAGAUGAUGCCUAUCAACUGUUUAAAAGAUGGUUCUGCUAUCACUCUUGGAUGGACCUGCGGUGCAUUAGCUAGUUGGUAGGGUAACGGCCUACCAAGGCGAUGAUGCAUAGCCGAGUUGAGAGACUGAUCGGCCACAUUGGGACUGAGACACGGCCCAAACUCCUACGGGGGCAGCAGCU